CACGUAGGUAACCUGCCCCCGGGCGGGGGACAACCUUCCGAAAGGAGGGCUAAUACCGCAUGAGACCACAUCACGCGAGUGGAAGUGGUUAAAGCUGGCCUCUUCAUGAAAGCUGGCACCUGGGGAUGGGCCUGCGCCCCAUCAGCUUGUUGGUAGGGUAAAAGCCUACCAAGGCUACGACGGGUAGCUGGUCUGAGAGGAUGAUCAGCCACACUGGAACUGAGACACGGUCCAG
rnacentral:rRNA from 1 species